UCUUUUCGACGUGGGGAAACUCGGUUCAGAGACCGGUAACAUUGAUAAAAUUCUGUCCUGUGAUCAUCGUUGUUCGUGGCGACGACGGCUGGCUAUUUUGCAUAUGCAACUCGCUCGCGUUUUACGACUCGGCCCGAAUUACGUCUGACAAUGUGUCUCCUGGAGUGGAACGAUGUCGUCGUGACGUUGUUCGUGUAAUUUGCAGAUGUGUUGCCGCGUUACACCAACAAUGGAGAACGGCUGGUUAUGGUGGCAAGUAGUUUCGAAGAAGAACGAACCGGUUGCUCGUGUGCAUUCCAUUUUCCUUCGAAAUUACUAUUGUUAGUCCCUUGGCUUACAAAUAUUUUUCUCUGUAUUCAACGUGCCGAAUUGUUACGCUUUAUCAAUUGACAUAAUCUAACACCUGUUCAGCGACGGUGUAUCUUUGAUGGCCGUUGAAGACAUAACUCGUAGUUUCAGAAAGCUCUAUCCCAAAAGGUCAAGCUUUUAAGCUUUUGUACAAUUUAUGAGUCUUGUUAGCUUGAGCGUGACCAGAGAGAAUGCUUGUGAGGACCAGAUACCAGAAUCGCUUGUAUUGUAGCUUUAGAGGAUGAAAUUGGUCUUUUCCGAGGAAUUCGUCCAGAUUCUUUUCGUGGGAUUUUGUUUGAUCUUGUAUGGAGACAACGUUUCAUUGAUUUUUAACGUUUUGCCUGAAUUUUACGUAGAAGCUCGUUACAAGAAGAUUUAAUACCACGAUUACCUCAAGAACUUAUCUGGAACGGUGUUAUCUUCUUUACUGCAACUGGGCAAGUCGGCAGGGCAUUAAAUUUCAAGUUGGAUCCAUAGCAUUAGCUCUUGAGAUUGCGCUGGAAAGACGGGCUAACGAAAGGUGAUUAAAAAGAAUUUAAUCUGCUCCCGUGGAUGAGGGAUUUAGCGCUCCGCUGUUGGUGGAACUUGUUAGCCGGAUAUCGUUGAGAUAGAUAGGCAAGAAGAUUGGUUAUUUCGUAAAGCUUGAGACUCGAAGAUCGUUCGUAUCGAUGUUUUAAAAUGUAGAUAUCGUGGCUCCUUUUGCGUAUGUUUCGCUGAUUAUCAAGCUACCAAGAUUAUCAAGAACGUACGAGGACCUCGGGCAAAUAACGAUUCGACGUAAAAUUUCUGGUUAGAUAAAACAACGAAUAACUUUAUAACUCUGAUGCUUAUAAAUGUUUUCAAAAACUAAAACGCAUUACGAACGAUUCAAGAAAUCUGCAACAAACUCUUCUAAAUAAAAACGGAGCUUGCGCGUCGUUUUCUCCGUUCUUUGCAUCUUAAAAAAUAACGUAGCUGUAUCACUUUCUUGGUUUACUUCGUUUGGAUUUUUAUGUUUUUUAUUUACAUUAUUUCAUUGUUUGUUCUUUGAUUAAUUGCUAAAAUAUUUGUUCAGUAACCGUCGAUAAAAACGAUUAAAAGGAAGAGAAGGGAAACAAGAAGCGAACCCUUAUAAUUCGGUGAUACUACAACGAGCUGUUAAAUCUAAAAUAAGAAUCGUAUAAUAAAAAAAAAUUCUUGCCGGUGGGAGUGUCGGUCAGAAUGGAAUUGGUGGUAUGUGUAUAGGGGUUGCUGUAGAACAAGGGUUUGUCACUCGAAUCGGUGCGGACGAAUAACUCUGCUCGUAAGGGCUCACCCUUCCAAGAGAAGAUUAAGAGGGAUGAUAGGUGGAAAGGGGGUGCUUCUGUAAGCACGUUUCGCGUGCUUCCCUUUGGGUUACUUCACGAUGAAAAUGGGAGUGUUUUCAUGGAAGAAUAGGUUAAGUUUCGAUGGUCACGUUAAUGCGAAUGACUUUUUCCGAGGGUACUUUUAGGGGAUGUUUUUUGGUACGGAGGGUUCGUUGGAGAUUGGAUUUUACGUUUAUGAUUCUAUAAAGAUCAUUAUACAGUUUUAUACAGAACGACGUUUGUACGUGUUUCGAAAUACGAUUAAAACGAUAAACGCGAGUUUGGAAGAACGCAAAGGGAUUUGUGACGAUAAAAUUUGCAAUGUUCCAGUCUGUUUAAUAUAAUUUUCAAUUUUAUGUACUUUUUCUAAUCGAUUAUACUUUUCCUUGUUUUCCAAUCUCAGAGAUAAAACUUGUAUGGAAGAGAUCGGAGCAAAAAUCGUACGAAAAAAGGUCUUAAGAAAUUCUAAAUCUCCAUCUUUUAACCAAAGCAACCGCUCGAAACGUAAUAUUAAAUAAAAUAAAUUUGAUAAUUAAGAUCGGCGAAUGAAUGUCAAGAUCGAUAUUGCUACUUUAUGAUAAUUAAUUUGAAACCACGAUUACUCGAACCAGAGACCAGACAGCCAUUAAUUAAUCGUCAUUCGUAAUUGAUGGCCGUCUAAUUGAAGUGGACUAAUCGUCAUACAUGGUUCUGAGAUAUAUCCAUUUGGCCGACGAAUUUCAAAAUCCGUCACUGUGGCAGAAUCGAAUUUCGAUUUCACGCUCAACUGGCAGCUUCUUGCGCGGUUGCCUUAGCGAACAUUUGCAAAGGCCGUUUCCAAUGCGUGCAGCUAUAUCGCGGAUGCAUCCGUCGCAGACACGUAAAGACGAUACAAGAGGAUCUCGGCUAACGGAGUUUCAGUUUCCGGAUUUUCGAUUAUCCGGCCGUCUAUUAUCCGCGCUCUUCAAUUAUCCCCUAUGUGCUCACCCACAAGUAUAUAAUAUCCUUUCCAGUCGAUAUUUGGCCCACUUUUCGCGCCCUCUUCCUAAUAUAUUACGUUUAUACAGUGGUUUCUAAGAAUCUUAGACUAUUUACUAUAUAAAUAUGUUUUGUUUGAACGAUUGAACGUCGUUGACGUGAUUACUUCACGAAAAGCUCUACAUCUUUAUUUUUGUAUAUCCGUGACCUGGAGACAGUUGUUACGCAGAAAAUAGAAU